UACGUAGGGUGCGAGCGUUGUCCGGAAUUAUUGGGCGUAAAGGGCUCGUAGGCGGUCUGUCACGUCGGGAGUGAAAACUCGGGGCUUAACCCCGAGCCUGCUUCCGAUACGGGCAGACUAGAGGUAUGCAGGGGAGAACGGAAUUCCUGGUGUAGCGGUGAAAUGCGCAGAUAUCAGGAGGAACACCGGUGGCGAAGGCGGGUCUCUAGGCCGACACUGACGCUGAGGAGCGAAAGCGUGGGGAGCGAACAGG
rnacentral:rRNA from 1 species